rnacentral:rRNA from 1 species
GAUGAACGCUGGCGGCGUGCCUAAUACAUGCAAGUCGAGCGAACAGACGAGGAGCUUGCUCCUUUGACGUUAGCGGCGGACGGGUGAGUAACACGUGGGUAACCUACCUAUAAGACUGGGAUAACUUCGGGAAACCGGAGCUAAUACCGGAUAAUAUUUCGAACCGCAUGGUUCGAUAGUGAAAGAUGGCUCUGCUAUCACUUAUAGAUGGACCUGCGCCGUAUUAGCUAGUUGGUAAGGUAACGGCUUACCAAGGCAACGAUACGUAGCCGACCUGAGAGGGUGAUCGGCCACACUGGAACUGAGACACGGUCCAGACUCCUACGGGAGGCAGCAGCAGGGAAUCUUCCGCAAUGGGCGAAAGCCUGACGGAGCAACGCCGCGUGAGUGAUGAAGGUCUUCGGAUCGUAAAACUCUGUUAUUAGGGAAGAACAAACGUGUAAGUAACUGUGCACGUCUUGACGGUACCUAAUCAGAAAGCCACGGCUAACUACGUG